rnacentral:rRNA from 1 species
AGGACGAACGCUGGCGGCGUGCUUAACACAUGCAAGUCACGGGGGCCCGCAAGGGCAACCGGCGAACGGGUGCGUAACACGUGAGCAAUCUGCCGAUCUCUGGGGGAUAGCCAGCCUAACGGCUGGGUAAUACCGCAUACGCUCGUUGGGGGAGUCCCCUGAUGAGGAAACCUCCGGGGGAGAUCGAGGAGCCCGCGGCCUAUCAGCUAGUUGGUGAGGUAACGGCUCACCAAGGCUAAGACGGGUAGCUGGUCUGAGAGGACGACCGAGCCGUCACUGGAACUGAGACACGGUCCAGACACCUACGGGUGGCAGCAGUCGAGAAUUUUUCUCAAUGGGCGAAAGCCUGAAGGAGCGACGCCGCGUGGGGGAUGAAUGGCUUCGGCCCGUAAACCCCUGUCAUUUGUGAACAAUUGCUUUACCCAAUACGUGGAGCAUUGAUUGUAACGGAAGAGGAAGGGACGGCUAACUCUGUGCCAGCAGCCGC